rnacentral:rRNA from 1 species
GGUUAGACGAAGAAUUCAUAUGGAACGAGUGUUUAUACUAGUUAACGUUAAAUUUUCUAAGUUGUUUUAGUUAUUUUGUUGGGUGAAAUCAGAAUAAAAAGCUGCUACUUCUUUAAGAAUUGAGAGGAACUAAAAAACUCUUAACUAAAACCAGGAUUAGAUACCCUGUUAUUUUGAGCAAUUUUAAACAGGGUAGUAAAAGUCGUUCUUCAAACCCAAAGAUUUUGGCGGCAUUUUAUCCAAAUAGAGGAGCUUGUCCCUUAAUCGAUAGUCCCCGUUUUAUCUUUCCUUUACUUGUUUAGCUUGUAUACCGCCGUUGUCAGAUUACUUUUAAAGAAUGUUUUCAAAUUAAAUAAUUUUUUUACUUCAGGUCAAGGUGCAGUUUAUGUAAGGGUGGUGGUGAGCUACAUUUCUCUCUAAAAAAACGAAUAUCAAAUUUUGAAUUUGGUUGAAGGUGGAUUUAUUAGUAAAAUAAUUUAAGAAAAAUUAUUUGAAUAGUGUAAUAAAGUGUGUACAUAUCGCCCGUCACUCUC